GCCCUGGUAGCUCAGCAGGUAAGAAGCUAGGCUUCUCUAUAAAGAGCGCUUGGCUGUUAACCAAGAGGUCCGCGGUUCGAGCCCGCGCCGGGGCG
rnacentral:tRNA from 1 species